UACGUAGGGGGCGAGCGUUGUCCGGAUUUACUGGGCGUAAAGCGCGUGUAGGCGGCCCGUUAAGUGGGGUGUGAAAGCCCGGGGCUCAACCCCGGGACGCCGCUUCAAACUGGCGGGCUUGAGGACGGAAGAGGGGAGUGGAAUUCCUGGUGUAGCGGUGAAAUGCGUAGAGAUCAGGAGGAACACCCGUGGCGAAGGCGGCUCCCUGGUCCGUCCCUGACGCUGAGACGCGAAAGCGCGGGAGCGAA
rnacentral:rRNA from 1 species